AAAUAUGUAACUUUUUUAUAUCAUGUUUUUUAUCUGGUAUUUUUCUAUAUUAGAUAUCAAAUAAAGUUGAAAAGAUUUCUUUUGAUGUUAAUCAAGUUGUUGAAGUGAAAAAUGCUCAACCUGGUACAGCAAAAGUCUAUGAUUACUACGCAAACGAAAAUUCUGCAUCGACCAGCUACACAAUUACUACUGAAAGCAAUGAAGCAUAGAAAGAAAUUAUUAAAAAGAUUGACAUCUUUAAAGUCAUUAUAUUAAGCUAAAUAUGACUGUAUAUUUUAAAUUGUAAAAAUAAAUUUUAUAUGCAAUAAAAAAAAUUUUAU